AACGUAGGACGCAAGCGUUAUCCGGAGUUACUGGGCGUAAAGCGCGGGCAGGCGGUCUUGCCAGUCUGAUGUGAAAUCUCUCCGCUCAACGGGGAGCAGCCAUUGGAAACUACAAGACUGGAGUCUGACAGAGGUAGGCGGAAUUCCGGGUGGAGUGGUGAAAUGCGUAGAGAUCCGGAGGAACACCAGAGGCGAAGGCGGCCUACUGGGUCAGUACUGACGCUGAGCCGCGAAAGCCAGGGGAGCGAACGGG
rnacentral:rRNA from 1 species